GAUGAACGCUAGCUACAGGCUUAACACAUGCAAGUCGAGGGACCGGCGCACGGGUGAGUAACACGUAUCCAACCUGCCCUUUACUCGGGGAUAGCCUUUCGAAAGAAAGAUUAAUACCCGAUAUAAAGGAUGGGGAUGCGUUCCAUUAGGUUGUUGGUGAGGUAACGGCUCACCAAGCCUUCGAUGGAUAGGGGUUCUGAGAGGAAGGGCCCCGACGUUGGAGCUAAGACACGGUCCAAACUCCUACGGAAGGCAGCAGUGAGGAAUAGUGGGCCAUGGGCGCGAGCGUGAACCAGCCAAGUAUCGUGAAGGAUGAAUUCUUAUGGGUCGUAAACUUCCUUUAAAUAAGAAUAUGUAUUAUAUGAAUAAGGAUCGGCUAACUCCGUGCCAGCAGCCGCGGUAAUAC
rnacentral:rRNA from 1 species